rnacentral:piRNA from 1 species
AAGUUCUUUUGCGGAUCUGCUU